CCGGCGCACGGGUGCGUAACACGUAUGCAACCUACCUUUAACUGGGGUAUAGCUCAGAGAAAUCUGAAUUAAUCCCCCAUAACACUACGACAUGGCAUCAUGAUGUAGUUAAAGCUCCGGCGGUUAAAGAUGGGCAUGCGGUACAUUAGCUAGUUGGUGAGGUAAUGGCUCACCAAGGCUACGAUGUAUAGGGGGUCUGAGAGGAUGAUCCCCCACACUGGUACUGAGACACGGACCAGACUCCUACGGGAGGCAGCAGUAGGGAAUAUUGGUCAAUGGACGAAAGUCUGAACCAGCCAUGCCGCGUGAAGGAUGAAGGCCCUCUGGGUCGUAAACUUCUUUUAUUAGGGAAGAAACCUCAGGAUGCGUCUGAGCUGACGGUACUUAAUGAGUAAGGAUCGGCUAACUUCGUGCCAGCAGCCGCGGUAAGACGAAGGAUCCAAGCGUUGUCCGGAUUUACUGGGUUUAAAGGGUGCGUAGGCGGAAAAUUAAGUCAGUGGUGAAAGCCCGCAGCUCAACUGUGGAACUGCCAUUGAAACUGGUUUUCUUGAAUAUAGCUGAGGCAGAUGGAAUAUAACAUGUAGCGGUGAAAUGCUUAGAUAUGUUAUAGAACACCGAUUGCGAAGGCAGUCUGCUAAACUAUUAUUGACGCUGAGGCACGAAAGCGUGGGGAGCGAACAGGAUUAGAUACCCUGGUAGUCCACGCCCUAAACGUUGAUUACUCGCUGUUGGCGAUAUACUGUCAGUGGCUAAGCGAAAGCAUUAAGUAAUCCACCUGGGGAAGUACGACCGCAAGGUUGAAA
rnacentral:rRNA from 1 species